UUAGCGAUGGAGGGACGCAGGAGGCUAAGGAAUGCACACGAUCGGAAAUGUGUGUCCAAGCAGCAAGUCUGAGAACGAGUGAAAUGCUUUUUCUCUCAAGGACAAGCUGUGAUGGGGAGCGAAAUUUAGUAGCGAAGUUCCUGAUGUCACACUGCCAAGAAAAGCUUCUAGUGAGAAAGUAACUGCCCGUACCGCAAACCGACACAGGUGGUUGAGGAGAGAAUCCUAAGGUGUGCGAGAGAACUCUCGUUAAGGAACUCGGCAAAAUGACCCCGUAACUUCGGGAGAAGGGGUGCUGACCGCAAGGUCAGCCGCAGUGAAUAGGCCCAAGCGACUGUUUAUCAAAAACACAGGUCUCUGCAAAAUCGAAAGAUGACGUAUAGGGGCUGACGCCUGCCCGGUGCUGGAAGGUUAAGAGGAGAGGUUAGCGCAAGCGAAGCUUUGAAUUGAAGCCCCAGUAAACGGCGGCCGUAACUAUAACGGUCCUAAGGUAGCGAAAUUCCUUGUCGGGUAAGUUCCGACCCGCACGAAAGGCGUAACGAUUUGGGCACUGUCUCAACGAGAGACUCGGUGAAAUUAUAGUACCAGUGAAGAUGCUGGUUACCCGCGACAGGACGGAAAGACCCCAUGGAGCUUUACUGCAGUUUGAUAUUGCGUGUUUGUAUCACAUGUACAGGAUAGGUAGGAGCCGAAGAUACCGGGACGCCAGUCUCGGAGGAGGCAACGGUGGGAUACUACCCUUGUGAUAUGACCACUCUAACCCGCUGCUCUUAGCGAGCAGGGAGACAGUGUCAGACGGGCAGUUUGACUGGGGCGGUCGCCUCCAAAAAUGUAACGGAGGCGCCCAAAGGUUCCCUCAGAAUGGUUGGAAAUCAUUCGUAGAGUGUAAAGGCAGAAGGGAGCUUGACUGCGAGACCUACAAGUCGAGCAGGGACGAAAGUCGGGCUUAGUGAUCCGGUGGUUCCGCAUGGAAGGGCCAUCGCUCAACGGAUAAAAGCUACCCUGGGGAUAACAGGCUUAUCUCCCCCAAGAGUUCACAUCGACGGGGAGGUUUGGCACCUCGAUGUCGGCUCAUCGCAUCCUGGGGCUGUAGUCGGUCCCAAGGGUUGGGCUGUUCGCCCAUUAAAGCGGUACGCGAGCUGGGUUCAGAACGUCGUGAGACAGUUCGGUCCCUAUCCGUCGCGGGCGUUGGAAAUUUGAGAGGAGCUGUCCUUAGUACGAGAGGACCGGGAUGGACACACCGCUGGUGUACCAGUUGUUCUGCCAAGAGCAUCGCUGGGUAGCUAUGUGUGGACGGGAUAAACGCUGAAAGCAUCUAAGCGUGAAGCCCCCCUCAAGAUGAGAUUUCCCAUCACUUUAAGUGAGUAAGACCCCUGAGAGAUGAUCAGGUAGAUAGGUUGGGAGUGGAAGUACAGCGAUGUAUGGAGCGGACCAAUACUAAUCGGUCGAGGACUUAACC
rnacentral:rRNA from 1 species